rnacentral:lncRNA from 1 species
AUAGCAACAGCAGCGUAGCUGAACAUCUUACGGAUGGCCCAGGGCUCCAAAGGCUCGUUUCCUAAGUGAGAGAGAGCCUGGCUGAAGCUGUAUUACCAUUCAUUCUCCAGCCUCCGAAGUCUCAAAGCAUCACUUCCACCAUACUCUAACUGUCAAGACAAACACAAAGGCCCAGAAAGAAGAAUACACUAUCGAUGUUCCUUUUAAACAAGUAUUUGAGUAAAAGCGAUGUUUCCAAUGUGUGUCAGAAAGUGAAUACUUGUAUAUUUCCGCACGGUUAGAGCUGAGCUUUCCGAGCAAAUUUUACUGGGACCCGGUUGAAAGACAGGUCUUGGAAGUGAAAUGAUGACUGACUAGAUGAAACUGCCAGACUGUCUUCUGAAGUGGCUAUAAUAUUUACACUCCCAUCAGCAGUGUAGAAGGGGUCUCACUAUGUUGUCUGGAGUGCUGUGGUGGAGUGGAGUGGCUAUUCACAGGAUUCUUGGAAUGGACUGUAAAAGUCUGGAAUCAAGACUUUGUGUUUCCUCUCUAACAUGUAAAGAGCUUAGAAGUUGUCGCUAUUGCCCUUACAACAAAAUGAAGCUGGACAAACUGAAAAUCAAUGACUUUUCUUGGACUCACUAUACAGCUGAGUUUGCAGAGUAAACCACUACCCUGAAAUCUGGAAAGGCAGGUGCACCCACAGAUCCUCAGCUGAGAUCCAAUUACCUGAAAUAGAAGCUGCCAUUAGGAACACUUAAAAGAGCCUGUUCUGCUGGGACACAGAAUCACUUGCUCCAUCUCAUACAUUGAUGAUGAUUAAUUUGUAUGUGUACCUUCCAAAAAAGAUGGUUGUGUUUGAAUGGAGGCCUUCUGGACAGGAAAAUUGCAAAGUACAAUUAACAUUUGAGUCUGUCUGAGUCAUGAAGAAAUGGAGAUUACUGAAAAUAAUUCAUUUUGGUAUCUUCUUACAUCCUGAGAGACUAAUCUUUCCAAGUUCAUCUGAGGCUCCUCUUCUCCAUGACAACCUCAUCCAGGGAUUUCUUCCUGUCCUGGUGUUUUAUGACAUAAUCACAUCCUUCCUGAGAUAAUGAGCACACAAUUGCCUGGAUACCUGAAGGAAUGGAGACAGCGGCAGAAAACACUGCAGAGAGGUGGAAACAUCCGUUAAUAUUUUAAAAUCCCAUUACUGCUACCAACAAUAAUAAUGGAUGCAUAGAAAUAGAUCUGGAUUAGCUGAGCUUGAAACAGUCCAUCUCACACACACACAAAAGAAUUUCAGAUACAGUGAACCCACAUGUUGAAGCUUUCUAGUAUAAUAAAAAUUUCAACUGUUCUGUUGAAUCAUCUGCCUGAUUGGAGGCUACAGAAAAGAUGUCAUCUUAGGAGUGCUUGCUCUGAGUGAGGCUCAUCUUCAAAUCUGAAUGACCACAAGGAGAUUUGAUUAUACAUGUGAACACCUCAGAAGGCACAGCCCACCCAGAAGGCAGACAGGUCAGGCUGCUUUUUCUUCAUUGCUUGGAUUCAAUCCUCCGGGCGGCUCAGGCUCAAACAUAACUUAAGCAUGAUUAAACUUUAGAAGAAGCUGCCAGGAAGACUGUGAAAUCUUCAUGCCCAAGGAUCCCUAAAAUUAGGAGCAACAACCACUUGGCUCAGACGGUUUAUGGAGGCAAAGGUUUGGAUGGGAUUAGAGAUUUCUAAAUGUGAGUUCGUGUCCUCUGCCAGACCACCUUACUUCCACCAUUCCUCAGCAAAUCAAGAAAAACAGGAGAAAAGACAUGCCUUUCCAUAAGUUAAAUCUAUUCUGUUUUAAUUCUAUAUUAUAUCUGCUGUACAACUUCUUUUGUUUGUAACACCAUAUUGUUGCUAGUAACUGGAAAUUAAUUUUCACAUGCCUCAGCUUAGAAAAAUAAAAAGCAGCCCUGCA